GUAGGUGGGAUUUUAAAACUACCUGUUUGCUGCAUGCAAGUAGCAACUAUUAUUUCUUACCUGACAGGGCAUAAAUUCAAAACUAUUCUUUAUUCCGGGGGAAGAAAAAAAAAAAAAAAAGGUAACUUUCUGUGCCUCACAUUUGGUAACUGUCAGCGCCUCUACUUCCUGAUUUAGUUCAGCAAAGUCAUCAACAGCUGUCUGAGAAACCAAGGAUGGGCUCAGUGUAUGGCACUGAGGCAGCAUUUGGAGGCAGGGACUGGAGUGUCUGAGCAGCUCUGCGAGGGACCACUCGGGUGAGAAAGAUGUGUGCAGAAUCACAGCAGGAAGGUAACAGAUGCUUUUCAAGUGAGCUGUAUGCAGUGAUCACUUCAGCUGUAUGCUGUUAGGUCUUGACCUAGCAAAGGAGUGAUUGUCUGGAGCCAGAUGACACAAUAAAAUCCUAAUAAAAUCUCUUUAUAGUACUGAACUGUUGGCCUUUAUGACUUGUAAAAUGUGUGUUGUAGGACUUUUUAUUGAUACUCAGCACCCUUUGCUACCAGAAUGGAAAGAGGAGAGAGAAGUGGUGUUAAAGAGAGCCUGAACUGCAGACACCUCUGGCGUGUGAGCCCGGGUACUCCUUCAGUGGCACAACAGAAACACAGUCCCUCACGUGAGUGCACAGAGGCGCUCAUGGCUCAGGAUAUCCCAACAGAAACGCCGAGCUGUGCCUUAAGGAUGCCGGGCAGCGCUGUCCCACUGCGGGCUGCGGAAACACCGAGGGGAGAAGCUGAGACAAGAAGCCGCAGUGCAUGGCACUUACAUGUUCCUAAGUGAUGUGGCAUCAGAAAGCAGGAACCGGUGAUGGUGGCCAACCUCUGCACGUCUGUGCUGAUGAACCUUCCUUUGUGCAGAAGUGUGUCACAGAGAGCCAAGGUGGAAGGAAAACACGUCACCAAAGGAAUGUUUUACUACUUGACGAUUAUGCUUCACACACACUUUGUCUUAAUAAGACAUUAAUUUCCCUCGCCGUGUAGAGGCUUCCGAGUGGGGGUUUUACAGCUCGGGACGGUGCUGAGCGAUGCACACACAGACAGACACGCAGUGCACAGCAAAUUGCCGCUGUGUGCCCCUGGGACUGCCGUAGCAGAAGGGAUGGGCUGGAAACUGGAGAAAAAAGCGGACCAUACAAAAAUCCCAUGUGAUCCGGAUCCCAGAAGAGCGAGCCCCACUUAGGGCUGCACUGUGCAAACACCGGCUGAAAUCCUUGUGCGAACACGCAAAACCAAGAAAAAAGUUGCAGCGUGCGCGGCUUUUCUCUUUCCCCGAACCGUUCCCGCUAUUGGCCUUCCCUCCUCUCCCUCCCUCGGAGCCUCCGGCCGUUUCGUUGCGUUUCAUCAUGCUCCCGCCGCCCG
rnacentral:lncRNA from 1 species